rnacentral:rRNA from 1 species
GACAGAGGUCCCAAGCGUUAGGCGGAAUCACUGGGCUUAAAGCGUGUGUAGGCGGACUUCUAAGUACCUUGUGAAAUCCCACGGCUCAACCGUGGAACUGCUUGGUAUACUGGUUGUCUUGGGCCAUCUAGGGGCUAGCGGAACAAACGGUGGAGCGGUGAAAUGCGUAUAUAUCGUUUGGAACGCCAAUGGUGAAAACAGCUAGCUGGGGAUGUGCCGACGCUGAGACACGAAAGCCAGGGGAGCGAACGGG